rnacentral:tRNA from 1 species
CGGAGCGUCGUAUAGUGGUAGUAUGCAUGCUUUGGGAGCAUGUGGUCUGGGUUCGAUUCCCAGCGCUCCGA